UCUGAAAAGUGGAGUACCUCUUAGGAGAUACUGAGAGCCCUCAGUACCCUGUAGAAGGCCCUUGCAGGAAUCUGGCUUCAGAGAGGUGCAGUCCUAUUGAAAUCAGUAUGGCUAUUUACAAGGAGGAAGGUGCUACUUUCCUGAUUAUUUGCAUCUGGGCAAAAUGCCAUGCACAGGAUCCAGGAGAAGUGCUGAGUGACAGCGAAGGUUUCUGCCUUUGUCUCCUCUAACACCAACUCCACGUAAAACACCAGAACAGUUUGCCCUCCAGCAACCCAAGAAAAUAUAUCUUGUAUGGUAUGCAAGGGAGUCAAACUCACCUAGGCUUGCGGGGGCCAACCAGCAUGCCACAUCCAGCACGAGUCCCGGAGCAGGCACCGCAUGCACGUGUCCCAGACUGGCAGCUCUGAAACCAUGCUGCACAUGAUGCCCAUUCCAGCAUGCAUCUGCUCCAUGCUGUAUCCAAAGUGGGUGCUGUGUGUGGUGUGUGCCCUGGAGUGGCCGAUCCAGGACCAGGACCAGCACCAGACCACACUUGGCUCUUAAUCUGGGCCCAUGCUGUAUGCAGCACCUGUUGUGGUUGCUCCAAGACUCACACUGGAGCAGUGCUGCAUUCGGCGGGAUCCUGGAGCAGCAGGAGUGGGCAUCUAGUGCACCCUGCAUGCUGCCUGGAGGCUGGAUAAUAUAGCUUCAUAGGCCAAAUCCAGCCUCUGGGACACAUCUUUGACACUCCUGCAUUACCUUAUGUCUGUGAUGUGACUAAGCAAGUCAGUGUGUUGGUAUAUUCAGGAGUGUAUAAGGAGUGGCACUGUAUGGGCAUCUUCCCGUGAGGUGCUAUGUAUGCUCAGUUCCUGUAGGCUUGAGGAGUCUCUGCAGUUUGAGGGGUUGGGCCACUGCGUUCCUUAUCAUUCCUUUACUUCUGAAGACUUUAAUGAUCUUCUAAAAUUGAAUUAAAUACUAUAAUCUACUAUUCAUAAAAAGAGUAUUAACCUUGUCUUGUGACCUAAAGUGUUAUGUAUAAUCCUUGCAAAUACUUACACAUUAAAAUAUACCAUGGCUUUCUAUUUGGCUUAAUCUUACACUACCAAGGUUUGCCAGCACAGCUGGGAAGAUCACACCCUGUUGCCAACCGAACUGUGCCAGUAAAACUCUGGUUUGGCUGCAGCUACAUUGACAGAAUAAUAUUUUUUGUCAGCUUAGCUUGGGUUGUUUGUGGAGGUGGCAUAGCCACCCAGCAGAAAACCCUCCUGUCUUGGCAUACACUCUAGCAGCAGAGACUCUGUCAUGUGAUAAACUUUUAGUUACCUGAAUUGAACCCGGUUUACAGGCUCAGCAUACAGCUUUAAAUGCUGAUCAUGUUAUCUUACCAUUUAAGCAAAGUGUUAGCAAAUUAGCUUACUGUGGGAACGGGAUUUUUUUUCCUCUUUUUUUUGUCUUCUAUGAAAACGUACUGAAAAUACUGAGCAGCACACAAUGUUAAAGUGAUGCAAAUGAGUUCAUUUUCCUCCUGACGUUAGAACAGCACUAGUUUCAGUACUCGAUUCUACUUUCAGUCGGAAAAAAAAAAAGAAUUAAUGAGAAAGUUGGGUUAAUUGAAAUAUCAUGAGGUUAUGACACCUACAGAGAUCUGUGGGUGAUCUAAAAAAAAUGUUCAUCUGUCAUGCUUUCCCCCCUCCUCAUUUGUGUGUAAUGGUAUCAGCUGACAGGGAUAGAGAUAAAAUGUUAUCACAUAUGGUGUCAGUUCCACUAAGGCCUUUUUACAUUUAAAAUAUUAAUACAAACAGAAGCUAGUUGGACUAAUUUCCAAAUUUUUACACAAUUUACCUCUCCAGUUCAGAGCAGUUACCUUGUAACUGUGUGUGAGGGAAGGGUUCUUUAUUGUAUUUAGAGCAAGAACAAUCUGAUCUUCCUUGAUAGUGUGCAGAUAUAGCUUCCUGGCCUUAGUGUUUUUUACAUACACUGGGCUCUACCUGCCUGUUCAGGGAAUCUACCCUACCCUCUUCUGCUUUGCAUGAAUGAUGAUGAUUUACUAGCUUAUAGCAUAUCUACUAAAACAUCUAGUUACGCUUAUUUGCUCAAGCAGCAAUCCUCUGUGUGUCAUUUGCUUAAGGAAAUCUUUCAAUGAUUGCAAUAUUUUAUGGAUAUUUUGUAGCUACCUACUCCUCUGCUCCUGGUCUUGUAAACAAUACUGUGAGUUGUUGGUAAUAUACUAUGUUCGGCUUCCUGUGAUCAGGGACCUGAUGAAGAAUGCCUUGCUUUCAAAAGCUUAUCUAACUUUAUCCCAAUUACAUAGUUGGUCCAAUAAAAGAUAUUGUAAGAAAUGCUUGC